rnacentral:piRNA from 1 species
UGGCUCUGUGGGGAAUUUUAAUG